GAUGAAGAACGCAGCGAAAUGCGAUAAGUAAUGUGAAUUGCAGAAUUCAGUGAAUCAUCGAAUCUUUGAACGCACAUUGCGCCCUCUGGUAUUCCGGGGGGCAUGCCUGUUCGAGCGUCAUUAUAACCACUCAAGCUCUCGCUUGGUAUUGGGGUUCGCGGUUCCGCGGCCCCUAAAAUCAGUGGCGGUGCCUGUCGGCUCUACGCGUAGUAAUACUCCUCGCGAUUGAGUCCGGUAGGUCUACUUGCCAGCAACCCCUAAUUUUUUUAAGGUUGACCUCGGAUCAGGUAGGGAUACCCGCUGAACUUAAGCAUAUCAAUAAGCGGAGGA
rnacentral:misc_RNA from 1 species